rnacentral:lncRNA from 1 species
UGUUAAAGGAAAAUAUUCACUGAAUCGAUUCAUAUAAGGUAGGGAUUUUUAGCAUUAAGUUGAAGGGUAGAAAAAGCGUCCCAAGCGGAGACUGUCGUGACCUAAAAAAAAUUUCGUUAGCCACCUUCUUCUAUUUAUAUGGAUAGUCGACCUUCGUAUGGAUAGAAACAAGUGCCUGUGCCCUUGAUGGGCAGCAUAACAUGUACACAUAGAACAAUACAUCAUGAUUUGUAACAAAAAAAAACAUGUAUAUAUACAUGUAUGCACUAUAUGUAGGACUCUUAUCAUUUCAGCUCCUCUAUCCAUACAUUAUCAUUAAAAGUGUUUUUCAACGGCUGUUUGGUAGCAAUAACUUCGUUUUCGAAUAUUUCGAUAGCUGGUUUCUUAUUUCAAUACUGUUAAAGCAAAUUGCACUAUGAAGGGAACCAGAUGCGGUUGCAUAUUUUUAUAAACAAUUUUGAAGAAACGAAUUUUAAAUUCUCAUUUUACACUUACCACAACUGGGGCCUUGUUUCUAGCAUUCGAAAAAGAAACAGUUUUGACAAAAACUACAGGGAUCAUUUAAUUUUAG